UGGAUCCAGACUUUGAUUCUGGCUCAGGAUGAACGCUAGCUACAGGCCUAACACAUGCAAGUCGAGGGGAAACGGCAGCUUAGCUUGCUAAGCUGGACGUCGACCGGCGCACGGGUGAGUAACGCGUAUCCAACCUGCCCCACGGUGAGGGAUAACCCGCGGAAACGCGGCCUAAUACCUCAUGGCCUCCGAGCUUGACAUCAACCUUGGAGUAAAGAUUCACUGCCGUGGGAUGGGGAUGCGUCUGAUUAGCUUGUUGGCGGGGCAACGGCCCACCAAGGCAACGAUCAGUAGGGGUUCUGAGAGGAAAGCCCCCCACAUUGGAACUGAGACACGGUCCAAACUCCUACGGGAGGCAGCAGUGAGGAAUAUUGGUCAAUGGGCGAGAGCCUGAACCAGCCAAGUAGCGUGCAGGAUGACGGCCCUAUGGGUUGUAAACCGCUUUUAUGCGGUGAUAAAGCGGGCGACGUGUCGCCCCUUGCAGGUACCGCAUGAAUAAGGACCGGCUAAUUCCGUGCCAGCAGCCGCGGUAAUACGGAAGGUCCGGGCGUUAUCCGGAUUUAUUGGGUUUAAAGGGAGCGCAGGCCGGGUAUUAAGCGUGUUGUGAAAUGUAGGCGCCCAACGUCUGCACCGCAGCGCGAACUGGUGCCCUUGAGUACGCACGACGUUGGCGGAAUUCGCCGUGUAGCGGUGAAAUGCUUAGAUAUGGCGAAGAACUCCGAUUGCGAAGGCAGCUGACGGGAGCGCUACUGACGCUCAUGCUCGAAAGCGCGGGUAUCGAACAGGAUUAGAUACCCUGGUAGUCCGCGCGGUAAACGAUGGAUGCCCGCUAUUUGCGCGUUAGCGCAAGUGGCCAAGUGAAAACGUUAAGCAUCCCACCUGGGGAGUACGCCGGCAACGGUGCAACUCAAAGGAAUUGACGGA
rnacentral:rRNA from 1 species